rnacentral:rRNA from 1 species
CCCUUAGAUGUUCUGGGCUGCACGCGUGCUACAAUGGCGCUUGCAACAAGUCUUGCCAACCCGAUAGGGUGAGCGGAUCUUUAAAGAGGCGUCGUGAUCGGGACAGUUGAUUGCAAUUAUUCGACUCGAACGAGGAAUUCCUUGUAAUCGCGAUUCAUCAUAUCGCGCUGAAUACGUCCCUGCCCUUUGUACACACCGCCCGUCGCUCCUACCGAUUGAGCGAUCCGGUGAAUGUUUUGGACUGGCGUCAGAAGCGGUUCGCUCCUGACACUACGAAAUUUUGUAAACCUUAUCGCUUAGAGGAAGGAAAAGUCGUAACA